rnacentral:rRNA from 1 species
AACGAACGCUGGCGGCAGGCCUAACACAUGCAAGUCGAGCGAGGACUUCGGUCAUAGCGGCGGACGGGUGAGUAACGCGUGGGAACGUGCCCUUUGCUUCGGAAUAGCCCUGGGAAACUGGGAGUAAUACCGGAUGAGCCCUUUGGGGGAAAGAUUUAUCGGCGAAGGAUCGGCCCGCGUUGGAUUAGGUAGUUGGUGGGGUAAUGGCCUACCAAGCCGACGAUCCAUAGCUGGUUUGAGAGGAUGAUCAGCCACACUGGGACUGAGACACGGCCCAGACUCCUACGGGAGGCAGCAGUGGGGAAUCUUAGACAAUGGGGGAAACCCUGAUCUAGCCAUGCCGCGUGAGCGAUGAAGGCCUUAGGGUUGUAAAGCUCUUUCAGCUGGGAAGAUAAUGACGGUACCAGCAGAAGAAGCCCCGGCUAACUCCGUG